rnacentral:lncRNA from 1 species
CUUGUUUUACAAGUUGAAAUCUUUACCGUUAUGGUACGUUUACAGUAAUGCAGGUAACAUUAGCGCAUUCACUUAGAGCAGAGUUAUUUAUCUUCAUAGGGCUUAAUACAAAGCCAAGACCGAAUUACUUGCUUAAACUGCUUUCUAGUCUUUGACUUAAAACAAAAAAGAAAAAUUGCUUCUACCUCCUCUCUAUGUCAGGAUGAUAAACAAUGCCAACAAUUAAGUGGUCUGGUAUUUCUAAAAAUGGCAGAUUGUAUUCCAAUAGCUCUUAAGUUGUAAAUCUUAAGGUUUUAGCUAAAUAUGUCUAUCAAAUUGUCAUUAUCUCUGCUUUCAGGAAAAUUAUGUCACCUUUGGUAAUAGGCUGCUAACAA